CCUACGGGUGGCAGCAGUGGGGAAUAUUGCACAAUGGGCGGAAGCCUGAUGCAGCAACGCCGCGUGAGGGAUGACGGCCUUCGGGUUGUAAACCUCUUUUAGCAGGGAAGAAGCGUGAGUGACGGUACCUGCAGAAAAAGCACCGGCUAACUACGUGCCAGCAGCCGCGGUAAUACGUAGGGUGCAAGCGUUAUCCGGAAUUAUUGGGCGUAAAGAGCUCGUAGGCGGUUUGUCGCGUCUGCUGUGAAAUCCCGAGGCUCAACUUCGGGCUUGCAGUGGGUACGGGCAGACUAGAGUGCGGUAGGGGAGAUUGGAAUUCCUGGUGUAGCGGUGGAAUGCGCAGAUAUCAGGAGGAACACCGAUGGCGAAGGCAGAUCUCUGGGCCGUAACUGACGCUGAGGAGCGAAAGGGUGGGGAGCAAACAGGAUUAGAUACCCCGGUAGUC
rnacentral:rRNA from 1 species